CAACACUGCUUCCCACAAACUUGAAUAAUGGAGUUGUUUACUUCGAAUGACCAACACAGUAAUCUUACAACUUCUCUAGCUAAUUUUUGGGGGAAACAGUUUUUGACUAAUGUUUGUCAUCAUGUCCGUGUGGUGUUCUGUGCCUGGCUGUACUAAUUACACACAAGGGUGAAAAUGAGUUACCUUUUACGGUUCUACCUACCAGAGGUUCACCCCGAUUCUGCUAGUGGCUUGCGGCCAUCAAGAAUGAUGCGGUGACUAAAGAUUAUCAGAGGGAUGUUCAGACUGAACCGUUCAAAUUCAAGCUAUUUGGAGUCAUUCCACAGUGACCCGCUGAAAAAUACCCCAAAGCAGGGACAUUUUGGCUACACAAGCAUGAGGAAGCAGACACCUUGCGGUUAUGGAGCACAACAACAUUCUGGCUCUCCAUGGAGGAGGUGGUGUGGGGGUCCUUUGCUGGUGGUACUGUCUGUGAUUUAUUUAGAAUUCAAGGCACACUUAACCAGCAUGGCUACCACAGCAUUCUGCAGUGAUACUCCAUCCCACCUGGUUUGCACUUAGUGUGCAUAUCAUUUGUUUUUCAAUGGGACAAUGACAAACACACCUCCAGGAUUGCUGGGGUGAUGGAGUGCUGCAUCAGAUGACCUGUCCUCCACAAUCGCCCGACCUAAACCCAAUUGAGAUGGUUUGGGAUGAGUUGGACCGCAGAGUGAAGGAAAAGCAGCCAACAAGUGCUCGACAUAUGUGGAAACUCCUUCCAGACUGUUGGAAAAACAUUCCAGGCGAAGCUGGUUGAGAGAAUGCCAAGAGUGUGCAAAGCUGUCAUCAAGGCAAAGGGUGACUACUUUGAAGAAUCUCAAAUAUAAAAUACAUUUUGAUUUGUUUAACACCUUGUUGGUUACUACAUGAUUCCAUAUGUGUUAUUUCAUAGUUUUGAUGUAUUCACUAUUAUUCUACAAUGUAAAAAUAAAGAAAAGCCCUUGAAUGAGUAGGUGUGAUCCUGUUGAUUGCAUGUUGAUUAGUUUCAGUGCUAUCUGGGUUGUUAAUCGGAUUCGCCCAGAAGUUCUUGAUUUAUAGUUUAUUUGUAUUGUACAUUUUAAUUAUUUGUGUACUUGUUUGACAUUUUACUACACAGUGUUAGGAUAUAGUAGCAUGAGCUUUCGCUAAACAGCUGCUAAACUGUGUAAGAGACCAAUAAACUUUUUUAUUUACCUAGA